rnacentral:rRNA from 1 species
GACGUAGGGCGCGAGCGUUGUCCGGAUUUAUUGGGCGUAAAGAGCUCGUAGGCGGCUUGUCGCGUCGUUCGUGAAAACCUGGGGCUCAACCCUCGGGCCUGCAGCCGAUACGGGCAAGCUAGAAUUCGGCAGGGGAGACUGGAAUUCCUGGUGUAGCGGUGAAUGCGCAGAUAUCAGGAGGAACACCGGUGGCGAAGGCGGGUCUCUGG